UACGAAAGGGGCUAGCGUUGUUCGGAAUUACUGGGCGUAAAGCGCACGUAGGCGGCCUUGUAAGAUGGGGGUGAGAUCCCCGGGCUCAACCCGGGAACUGCCUUCAUGACUGCAAAGCUUGAGGAUGUGAGAGGUUGGCGGAAUUCCGAGUGUAGAGGUGAAAUUCGUAGAUAUUCGGAAGAACACCAGUGGCGCAGGCGGCCAACUGGCACAUUUCUGACGCUGAGGUGCGAAAGCUUGGGGAGCAAACAGG
rnacentral:rRNA from 1 species